UGAUACUGAUCUGGAAAGUACCUGCUGAG
rnacentral:piRNA from 1 species